rnacentral:rRNA from 1 species
UGAGGCCUACGGGGGGCAGCAGUGGGGAAUAUUGCACAAUGGGGGAAACCCUGAUGCAGCGACGCCGCGUGAGUGAAGAAGUAUCUCGGUACGUAAAGCUCUAUCAGCAGGGAAGAAAAAAAGUCUUUGGCUUUGGACGGUACCUGACUAAGAAGCCCCGGCUAACUACGUGCCAGCAGCCGCGGUAAUACGUAGGGGGCAAGCGUUAUCCGGAUUUACUGGGUUUAAAGGGUGCGUAGGCGGAAUGCCAAGUCAGCGGUAAAAUCGCGGGGCUCAACCUCGCUCCGCCGUUGAAACUGGCGUUU